rnacentral:rRNA from 1 species
UACGGAGGGUGCAAGCGUUAAUCGGAAUCACUGGGCGUAAAGCGCACGCAGGCGGUUUGUUAAGUCAGACGUGAAAGCCCCGGGCUCAACCUGGGAACUGCGUUUGGAUCUACAAGACUAGAGUGUGUCAGAGGGGGGUGGAAUUCCGCGUGUAGCAGUGAAAUGCGUAGAGAUGCGGAGGAACACCGAUGGCGAAGGCAGCCCCCUGGGAUAACACUGACGCUCAUGCACGAAAGCGUGGGGAGCAAACAGGAUUAGAACU